rnacentral:rRNA from 1 species
AGAAGCACCGGCUAACUCCGUGCCAGCAGCCGCGGUAAUACGGAGGGUGCAAGCGUUAAUCGGAAUUACUGGGCGUAAAGCGCACGCAGGCGGUUUGUUAAGUCAGAUGUGAAAUCCCCGGGCUCAACCUGGGAACUGCAUCUGAUACUGGCAAGCUUGAGUCUCGUAGAGGGGGGUAGAAUUCCAGGUGUAGCGGUGAAAUGCGUAGAGAUCUGGAGG